GGAUCUGUGGCAGAGCGGUUGAAUGCACUCGUCUUGAAAACGAGAACCUGUUAAAAUAGGUCGUGAGUUCAAAUCUCACCAGGUCCG
rnacentral:tRNA from 1 species